rnacentral:rRNA from 1 species
CACAAUGGGCGAAAGCCUGAUGCAGCAACGCCGCGUGAGUGAUGAAGGCCUUCGGGUCGUAAAACUCUGUCCUCAAGGAAGAUAAUGACGGUACUUGAGGAGGAAGCCCCGGCUAACUACGUGCCAGCAGCCGCGGUAAUACGUAGGGGGCUAGCGUUAGCCGGAUUUACUGGGCGUAAAGGGUGCGUAGGCGGUCUUUCAAGUCAGGAGUGAAAGGCUACGGCUCAACCGUAGUAAGCUCUUGAAACUGGGAGACUUGAGUGCAGGAGAGGAGAGUGGAAUUCCUAGUGUAGCGGUGAAAUGCGUAGAUAUUAGGAGGAACACCAGUUGCGAAGGCGGCUCUCUGGACUGU